rnacentral:rRNA from 1 species
CAUGUAGGCGGCGAAGUGUGUCUGACGUGAAAGCCCCCGGCUCAACUGGGGAAGGGCGUUGGAUACUACUUUGCUUGAGUGCGAGAGAGGGUAGCGGAAUUCCCAGUGUAGAAGUGAAAUUCGUAGAUACUGGGAGGAACACCGGAGGCGAAGGCGGCUACCUGGAUCGCCACUGACGCUGAAAUGCGAAGGCGUGGGGAGCAAACA